GUUUUGACGAUUUAUUUUUACAAGGUAUCUAUAUAAACCUGUAUGGUCCUUAACUUCUCUAUGCCAUCUCUGCUGUUUUACCAGGUUACUAGUGAAAUAAACACCAUCCCUUCAUUGAGUUGUUAUUUUUUAAAAGGUUGGCCUUUCUUAAAAAGUAUUUACCGUGUUGUGUGAACAAUGAACAAUGUGGGAAACAUUUAACAUCAGCAGGGUGAAGGGAGUUUACAUAUUCAGGAAAAAUAUGUUUUGUUAAAGACUUAACUUUCACUCACAGCCCAUCUCUCCCCACUGUUUUAUCUCCUGCGAAAUCAGAAGUCCAAACUUGGAACACAUCCAUGAACAGUAAAAUCACACACUUGGAACCAAAAAGAAGAAAGUCCAUUUUUAGAGGAAUAACUGGCCCCAGUGAGAUAAAAAAAAAAAAAAAAAUUGUGAUUAACAUGAACUGUAAACGAGGAAAGGCUCCAAUCCAGCAUACUAAGAAGUUGCCUUGAGUAUAAUGGUUUGUCUUUAAGAAAAACCACUGUAUAUGUUCGGCCCACCUGAUGAGAGCUUCAUUUAGCAGAUCAUUUUUCCUU
rnacentral:lncRNA from 1 species